GUUUUGCUUUGAUGAGAAUUCUUUUCUUGUGAUGUAAACUGUACUGCGGUGUGUGGGUGGGAGUAAAACAUUUCAGAAUCUUCUUCCAUGAACAAAACGACCAAUUCUGAAGAAGUUAAUGCCUCCAGAUGCCCUUAUGAACCACACCUAGCAUAUGAAGGGCUGUGUUCUCCACCAUCUGAGCAAUGUAACCACAGCUCUGGAAAAAACAAAAAUGAACUAGCAUAUGUAGAAGGAUAAAAAACUGAGCUUUCUGCAUAUCUACAUAAUUUAAGACAUGAUUAUCCAUAAGGACAAAUCCUUCCUGCCAUGUAAGUUUUUGAAUCAUUUAACUUCCAUAACCUUUUUAAUACCUUGCAAUCUAACUUCAUAAUCCAUCCAAAGAAAAUGGCAAGUUGGUUAAUAUGCAAACUUGCACAUAAAUUUUUAAGCUUCAGUAUCUGAGGCCUGAUAAUUCAAAUAAAUAAAUAAAUAAUCUGAACUUUAAAAAUAGACCUGCUUGCUUUGGUUCCUUCAAUGGUCAUGGUCUGUUCUCUGUAGACUUCCUGAAACCUGCUUGAAUACUAGAUAAUUUAAUUUAUAAAUGAUAUGCAUGUUCUUGGAUGAUGUGCAGCUUUUCUUCCCUUAAGUUAUUUAUUUCUUAUAAUUAGAUAUCUUCCUUUUCUUUUUGCUUGUGCAGGUUUAUAGACUAGUUUCUUUGUUACUUUUUUAUUAAUAAGUCUUUUUGUGUCAUUAAACAUGGAUUCAGUUAAUCCCUGCAUAAAAAUUGCUUGGCCCCAGUAACAGGUCUAACAAAGGUCUUUGAAGUAUUGGUAUCAUUAUUUUGAUCUUCAGUGGAAUCACCAGUAAUGUGUUAGUAUCAGUGUAGUACGGAAUAAUUUACUAACAUUUAAGAACAGUUUAUGUAGAUUUCUGAAAUGCAGUACAAAGUAUUCUGUGUGCUUUAGAUUGCACAGUAGUCUGCAUAAUACAUAGCACUGAUUCAUUCAUUCAGGAGAUGGAAUCCUUCAAGUAAAACUGCAAGCAGUGAGUGAAGUCAUUUUCUAUCCUUUCACAGUGAAGGGCGUACUUCUGUUAGAGACGGCCUGUUGUCAGCAGAAACUAAAGGGAAUAACAUCUUUCAAGAAGGAAGCUCAGAAAAUGGGUAAGAUGAGUGGACAGCAAGGAACAUUAAGAACUGGUUUAAGAAGAACUCAGUGUUGUGAUCAGUGGUACUGAGUCUGGCUGGAGGCCUGUAGCUAGUGGUGUCCCCCAGAGUCUGUUUCAUUCAACUUAUUCAUCAAGGCAGACAAAGGCAGAGAGCACACCCUCAGCAAGUUUGCUGAUACCAAACUGGUAAAGAGGUAGACACACCACAAGACUGCCACUGCCAUUCAGAGAGACUUGAAUAAUCCUAAUGGAAACUUGAAGGGAGAAAACCAUCAUGAAAUUCAACAAUGGCAAAAGCAAGAUCCUAUACACUGGGAGGAAGAACUCAUGUAUUGAUACAGGCCAGAGGCUGACCUAAUGGAAUGCAGCUCUGCAGAGUACCUGGGAGUUCCUGUGGACAGUAGGCAGGAGUUCUUCUACUCUUCUCUUAGCCAUGAUUAUGAUUAGAACUUUGUUUAUCAACUAAUUAAUUCAAAUUUCCUCCUGUCUUUCUGUCAAAACUAUAUAAGAAAAGGCAGCUUUUUUUGAUCAUGCUUGUAAUCUUAAGGAACAAGCAGAAAACAGGCUUCAAAUAUGAAGUUCUUCUGUAUUAAAGGUUUUUGCUGUAGAACAGAAAUGUGGCACAAGUAAACAUUAAGAACUAUCUGAAAUUAAGACAUAGCCAGAAGGCAGCUGUGCCUCAAACAGUGCGUCUUGUUUAGAGACCAUUAAAGACCAGUUCUGUUUACAAAGCUACAAACUGUGUUAAAUCUCAAAACAGAAGUGAAAUUUGGCAGCCCUGAGUUGCAGUCUUAUCUGCCUAUCUUCACUGCUGAAUUUGCAGAACAUAAUUAUAAUAAUAAAAAUUGUGAGGAAAAAAUUGUCUUCAUGAGCAAAAUAUUUAAUUGGUAUUCUGCUGUACUCUAAAGCAAAUCUUAAACAAUUUAUAUUCUUAUCAACUAAGCCCUAAAAACUUUUGAACAAUUAUUCACUCAUUCUGAACAGCAGAUGAAACUAACCUUGUAUUUGCCACAGAUUUAGUCAUAUUUUUGGUCUUUUUCCAUGUUUUUACUACUGAAAAGGCUAUCUUAUGCACUAAUCAGAUUAUAAAACAUUUACCUUUGGAUGUGACGAUUUUCUGUGCUUCAUCUCUGCCUGAAAGACAAUGUCAUUUGGGAACUUUGAGUAAAAUUGCUUUUUGCGUUAUACACAA